AGUGAACGCUGGCGGUAGGCCUAACACAUGCAAGUCGAACGGCAGCACAGUAGGAUCUUGCUCUUACGGGUGGCGAGUGGCGGACGGGUGAGGAAUACAUCGGAAUCUACUUUUUCGUGGGGGAUAACGUAGGGAAACUUACGCUAAUACCGCAUACGACCUACGGGUGAAAGCAGGGGAUCUUCGGACCUUGCGCGAUUGAAUGAGCCGAUGUCGGAUUAGCUAGUUGGCGGGGUAAAGGCCCACCAAGGCGACGAUCCGUAGCUGGUCUGAGAGGAUGAUCAGCCACACUGGAACUGAGACACGGUCCAGACUCCUACGGGAGGCAGCAGUGGGGAAUAUUGGACAAUGGGCGCAAGCCUGAUCCAGCCAUACCGCGUGGGUGAAGAAGGCCUUCGGGUUGUAAAGCCCUUUUGUUGGGAAAGAAAAGCAGCAGGUGAAUACCCCGCUGUUCUGACGGUACCCAAAGAAUAAGCACCGGCUAACUUCGUG
rnacentral:rRNA from 1 species